rnacentral:tRNA from 1 species
GGAGAGUUGGCCGAGUGGUCGAAGGCGCUUCACUGCUAACGAAGUAAGGGCUAACCCCCUUCAUGGGUUCGAAUCCCAUACUCUCCG